ensembl:lncRNA
AAGGAGUGCAGUGCAGGCUGGCUGUUUGAGCCUGGGAUCGCCAGCAAAUCUGGCAGCCCUCAGAGCUGAUAGGCAGUCCAUCUAGAGGUAAUCCCAGCACAGCGCCCCAGGCUGCCCCAAGGGUGAUCCAGGUGCAUUUUGGUGUAGGCUGCUUGUGGAGCGAUGCAGAGAUGUUCAGGCUGCAUUUGUUGUUAUUCUGAAGCCCAGCGAAGCAGCCCCGGUGAGGAGUGAUCCCUGGCUGUGGCAUGUUCCAGCAGACGUGGUGGAAUGUGACAGCGAGGCACACACGCUGCCUGAGCCUCCCUGGGAGAUGGGAGCAGCACUCAUGCUCGCUUGCUGUCCUCGCUGCCUGCAGUCACCCUGCACAGGAGGAGCCCGGAGGUCAUUCCUGUCCCCACAGCAGCAGACAUCACCCGUUGAUGCUGCUCCCAGGUCUCUGGUAACAGAAGCUGAUAGGAAACAUCCAAAGCAGUGCUGCCAGCUGGAGGUCCUGUGCUCAUUUCAUACACACCAUCGCUGUGGAGCAGCGUGCUUGGCUUUGCAGUAGGUGCUGUUGCACACAAC